AUUGAACGCUGGCGGUAUGCUUAACACAUGCAAGUCGAACGAGUGGCGGACGGGUGAGUAAUGCAUAGGAAUCUACCUUUUAGUCUAGGAUAACUACCCGAAAGGGUGGCUAAUACUGGAUGCUAAGAGAUGAGCCUAUGUGGGAUUAGCUAGUUGGUGGGGUAAUGGCUCACUAAGGCGACGAUCUCUAGCUGGUUUGAGAGGAUGAUCAGGCACAGUGGGAAUGUGACACGGCCAAGAAUCAUACGGGAGGCAGCAGUGGGGAAUAUUGGAAAAUGGGCGAAAGCCUGAUCCAGAAAUACCGGGUGUGUGAAGAGGGCCCUAGGGUUGUAAAGAACUUUUGUUAGGGAAAUGUUACCUAAAGAAUAAGCACCGGCUAACUCCGUGCCAGCAGCCGCGGUAAUUC
rnacentral:rRNA from 1 species